GGCCGCGGGAAUUCGAUUAGAGUUUGAUCAUGGCUCAGAUUGAACGCUGGCGGCAGGCCUAACACAUGCAAGUCGAGCGGUAGAGAGAAGCUUGCUUCUCUUGAGAGCGGCGGACGGGUGAGUAAUGCCUAGGAAUCUGCCUGGUAGUGGGGGAUAACGUUCGGAAACGGACGCUAAUACCGCAUACGUCCUACGGGAGAAAGCAGGGGACCUUCGGGCCUUGCGCUAUCAGAUGAGCCUAGGUCGGAUUAGCUAGUUGGUGGGGUAAUGGCUCACCAAGGCGACGAUCCGUAACUGGUCUGAGAGGAUGAUCAGUCACACUGGAACUGAGACACGGUCCAGACUCCUACGGGAGGCAGCAGUGGGGAAUAUUGGACAAUGGGCGAAAGCCUGAUCCAGCCAUGCCGCGUGUGUGAAGAAGGUCUUCGGAUUGUAAAGCACUUUAAGUUGGGAGGAAGGGCAGUAAAUUAAUACUUUGCUGUUUUGACGUUACCGACAGAAUAAGCACCGGCUAACUCUGUGCCAGCAGCCGCGGUAAUACGAAUCACUAGUGAAUUCGCGGCCGCCUGCAGGUCGACAUAUGGGAGAGCUCCC
rnacentral:rRNA from 1 species